CGACCGGCGCACGGGUGAGUAACGCGUAUCCAACCUGCCCACCACUUGGGGAUAACCUUGCGAAAGUAAGACUAACACCCAAUGAUAUCUCUAGAAGACAUCUGAAAGAGAUUAAAGAUUUAUCGGUGAUGGAUGGGGAUGCGUCUGAUUAGCUUGUUGGCGGGGUAACGGCCCACCAAGGCAACGAUCAGUAGGGGUUCUGAGAGGAAGGUCCCCCACAUUGGAACUGAGACACGGUCCAA
rnacentral:rRNA from 1 species